UGGGGAAUAUUGCACAAUGGGCGCAAGCCUGAUGCAGCCAUGCCGCGUGUAUGAAGAAGGCCUUCGGGUUGUAAAGUACUUUCAGCGAGGAGGAAGGCGGUAAGGUUAAUAACCUUAUCGAUUGACGUUACUCGCAGAAGAAGCACCGGCUAACUCCGUGCCAGCAGCCGCGGUAAUACGGAGGGUGCAAGCGUUAAUCGGAAUUACGGGGCGUAAAGCGCACGCAGGCGGUCUGUCAAGUCGGAUGUGAAAUCCCCGGGCUCAACCUGGGAACUGCAUUCGAAACUGGCAGGCUAGAGUCUUGUAGAGGGGGGUAGAAUUCCAGGUGUAGCGGUGAAAUGCGUAGAGAUCUGGAGGAAUACCGGUGGCGAAGGCGGCCCCCUGGACAAAGACUGACGCUCAGGUGCGAAAGCGUGGGGAGCAAACA
rnacentral:rRNA from 1 species